rnacentral:rRNA from 1 species
UACGUAGGGCGCAAGCGUUGUCCGGAAUUAUUGGGCGUAAAGAGCUCGUAGGCGGCUUUGUCACGUCGGAUGUGAAAGCCCGAGGCUUAACCUCGGGUCUGCAUUCGAUACGGGGCUAGCUAGAGUGUGGUAGGGGAGAUCGGAAUUCCUGGUGUAGCGGUGAAAAUGCGCAGAUAUCAGGAGGAACACCGGUGGCGAAGGCGGAUCUCUGGGCCAUUACUGACGCUGGAGGAGCGAAAGCGUGGGGAGCGAACAGG